AACGAACGCUGGCGGCAUGCCUAACACAUGCAAGUCGAACGAUUGCACUCGGGUGAUCGUGGCGUACGGGUGCGUAACGCGUGGGAAUUUGCCCUUAGGUCCGGAAUAACAGCUGGAAAGGGCUGCUAAUAGCGGAAGAUAUGGUGAGAUCAAAGAUUUAUCACCCGAGGAUGCGCCCGCGUUGGAUUAGGUAGGUGGUGGGGUAAGGGCCUACCAAGCCGCCGAUCCAUAGCUGGUAUGAGAGGAAGAGCCGCCACACCGGCACUGAGACACGGUCGAGACUCUUACGGGAGGGAGGAGUGGGGGAUAUUGGAAAACGGGGUGAAGGAAGAAGGAGCAAGGCUGGGAGAGUGAUGAAGGUCCGAGAGAAGUAAAGCUCUUUUACCCGGGAAGAUAAUGACGGUACCGAAAGAAUAAGCCCCGGCUAACUCCGUG
rnacentral:rRNA from 1 species